UGAGGGUCUCGAGUUUUACCCAGGUUGCAAU
rnacentral:piRNA from 1 species